rnacentral:tRNA from 1 species
GGUUCCAUAGUGUAGCAGUUAGCACGUGUGCUUUAUAUGCAGAAGGUCCUGGGUUCACACCCCAGUGGAGCCA